rnacentral:rRNA from 1 species
UACGUAGGGUGCAAGCGUUGUCCGGAAUUAUUGGGCGUAAAGCGCGCGCAGGCGGCCUCGCGCGCCCGACGUGAAAGCCCCCGGCUUAACCGGGGAGGGUCGUUGGGGACGGCGGGGCUUGAGGGCGGGAGAGGGUGGUGGAAUUCCCGGUGUAGUGGUGAAAUGCGUAGAUAUCAGGAGGAACACCGGUGGCGAAGGCAGCUAUCUGGACAGAGUCUGACGCUGAGGCGCGAAAGCUAGGGGAGCAAACAGG